rnacentral:rRNA from 1 species
CAGCCGCCGCGGGAAUACGGAGGGGGCUAGCGUUGUUCGGAAUUACUGGGCGUAAAGCGCACGUAGGCGGCUUGGUAAGUUAGAGGUGAAAGCCCGGAGCUCAACUCCGGAAUUGCCUUUAAGACUGCCGAGCUAGUAGGUGAGAGAGGUAAGUGGAAUUCCGAGUGUAGAGGUGAAAUUCGUAGAUAUUCGGAGGAACACCAGUGGCGAAGGCGGCUUACUGGCUCAUUCUAGACGCUGAGGUGCGAAAGCGUGGGGAGCAAACAGGAUUAGAUACCCCUGUAGUCCCUGUCUCUUAUAC